UACGACUACAUAUCAGGCAUAUCAAUAAGCGGAGGAAAAGAAACUAACUAGGAUUCCCUUAGUAACGGCGGGUGAAGCGGGAAGAGCUCAAAUUUGAAAUCUUCAAGGUUUUACCUUGACGAAUUGUAGUUUAAAGAAGUGUUUUCUGUUGGUGUUUUGGUAAAAGUUCUUUGGAAUAGGACAUCAUAGAGGGUGAGAAUCCCGUAUUUGACCAUUACUUUCCAGCUGUGUGAUACACUUUCAAAGAGUCGGAUUGUUUGGGAAUGCAGUCCAAAAUGGGUGGUAAAUUUCAUCUAAAGCUAAAUAUUGGCGAGAGACCGAUAGCGAACAAGUACCGUGAGGGAAAGAUGAAAAGAACUUUGAAAAGAGAGUUAAACAGUACGUGAAAUUGUCAAAAGAGAAGCGUUUGACACCAGUGUUGUUUUCUCGAAAAUCAAUUAAAAAAGAUUGGAUUUUGUGUUGUAUUGACUUUAUCAGCUUUCUGCACUCUUUUCUUGUCUUUUUUAAUGCACUUUUCGUUUAACAAGUCAACAUCAAUUUCUUUUGUUGUAAAAGGGUCAUUGGAAGGUGGCUUUCUUUUCGGAGAAAGUGUUUAUAGCCUUUGGCUUCUGCAAUCGGAGAGAUUGAGGUCUGCAGCGUAGAUCCUUCGGGGUUAGAUACAUUUGUGCUAAGUUAUAGCCUUUCAUAGACAACUUGUUGACUAUGAUCAGUCAUGUAGCUUACUCGCUUAUGCUAUUUUACCUACGCUUAGGAUGUUGAAUCUGUGCGAGACUA
rnacentral:rRNA from 1 species